rnacentral:tRNA from 1 species
UGGCUGAGUGGUUAAGGCACUGGACUUGAAAUCCAGUGGGGUUUCUCUGUGCAGGUUCAUUUUCUGC